rnacentral:ncRNA from 1 species
UGUUUGACAAUGAUCAGAAGAGUAGUCUACGUUACUUCGAAAAGCGACCUAGGGAAUGGUGCAAGCCUAGGCGAAGCCGUAGAUGAACCACAUCUGUGAGUUGAUAGCCUGAAAAAUAACUAGGGUUAUCCGGUAAUUCCGUUAUCAUUUAAGUUAAUGCAACUUUCUGAGGUUGACUGCGCGAGCAGUUGAUAAAUAUGAGGUGGAACCGCGAUAAUUCGUCCUCUUA